rnacentral:rRNA from 1 species
AGCUCCAAUAGCGUAUAUUAAAGUUGCUGCAGUUAAAAAGCUCGUAGUUGCAUUUCCGAGGCAAGGGAUUAGUCCGACCUUUGGUGGGUAUUUAAUCCUCUUGCCUCGUCCUUGAGUGGUGCUUCUUGGUAUUAAGUUAUCGAGGAGAUAGCCGCUCAUCGUUUACUGUGAGAAAAUUAGAGUGUUCAAAGCAGGCUUAUGCCGUUGAAUAUAUUAGCAUGGAAUAAUAAGAUAGAACCUCGGUACUAUUUUGUUGGUUUGAGAACCAAGGUAAUGAUUAAUAGGGACAGUUGGGGGUAUUCGUAUUCAGUUGUCAGAGGUGAAAUUCUUAGAUUUACGGAAGACGAACUACUGCGAAAGCAUUUACCAAGGAUGUGUUCA